rnacentral:rRNA from 1 species
UCCUACGGGAGGCAGCAGUGGGGAAUCUUGCGCAAUGGCCGAAAGGCUGACGCAGCGACGCCGCGUGUGGGAUGAAGCAUUUCGGUGUGUAAACCACUGUUGCCCGGGACGAACAGCCUUUUUCGAGAGGCCUGACGGUACCGGGUGAGGAAGCACCGGCUAACUCCGUGCCAGCAGCCGCGGUAAUACGGAGGGUGCGAGCGUUGUCCGGAAUCACUGGGCGUAAAGGGCGCGUAGGUGGCGCGGGCAGUCAACGGUGAAAGUUCGGGGCUCAACCCUGAAUCAGCCGUCGAUACUCCCGGGCUUGAGCACUGUAGAGGCAGAUGGAAUUCCGGGUGUAGCGGUGGAAUGCGUAGAGAUCCGGAAGAACACCGGUGGCGAAGGCGGUCUGCUGGGCAGUAGCUGACACUGAGGCGCGACAGCGUGGGGAGCAAACAGGAUUAGAUACCCUGGUAGUCCACGCCGUAAACGAUGGGUACUAGGUGCUUGGGGGAGCGACCCCCUGAGUGCCGGCGCUAACGCAUUAAGUACCCCGCCUGGGGAGUACGGCCGCAAGGCUGAAACUCAAAGGAAUUGACGGGGGCCCGCACAAGCGGUGGAGCAUGUGGUUUAAUUCGACGCAACGCGAAGAACCUUACCUAGGCUUGACAUGUAUGGGAAACCCUUGAGGAACCAGGGGCCUCCUUCGGGACCCAUGCACAGGUGCUGCAUGGCUGUCGUCAGCUCGUGUCGUGAGAUGUUGGGUUAAGUCCCGCAACGAGCGCAACCCCCGUUCCUAGUUGCCAGCGCGUCAUGGCGGGGACUCUAGGAAGACUGCCGGUGCCAAACCGGAGGAAGGUGGGGAUGACGUCAAGUCAUCGUGGUCCUUAUGUCCAGGGCUACACACGUGCUACAUUGGCGCGUACAGAGGGCUGCGAUACCGCGAGGUGGAGCGAAUCCCUUAAAGCGCGUCUCGGUUCGGAUUGUAGGCUGAAACCCGCCUACAUGAAGGCGGAGUUGCUAGUAAUCCCGGAUCACCAUUGCCCCGGUAGUAGUUCCCGGCCUUUACACAC